UACAGAGGGGGCAAGCGUUAUUCGGAAUUAUUGGGCGUAAAGGGCGCGUAGGCGGCUUUUCAAGUGACGGGUGAAAUCCCUCGGCUUAACCGAGGAACUGCCUGUCAGACUGGAAGGCUUGAGACCAGGAGAGGUGAGUGGAAUUCCCAGUGUAGCGGUGAAAUGCGUAGAUAUUGGGAGGAACACCAGUGGCGAAGGCGGCUCACUGGACCGGAACUGACGCUGAGGCGCGAAAGCGUGGGGAGCAAACAGG
rnacentral:rRNA from 1 species